rnacentral:ncRNA from 1 species
GAUAGAGGUUGCGGAAAAGAUGAGUACUCCACGGUAAACGCCGGCAAGCGGUCGCGGAGGAAAGGCAAUUCCGCCGAAGCUCAUUGCGGUUGCCGCCGUGAUGCUGCUGGGACUGCGCCGAACAGACGCAGGACUGUCACAUUUCAUGUGGAGAGCUAUCA